GGGAAUCAAACAUAAAUUUGCCAAUUGUUAGGUUGCUCAAACCUUUUGAUGAACUUUUUGUUGAUUCCAAGGAUUUUGAUCUAGUUGCUUUAGAGGAUUUCAUUCAAUCUUCGAGUGUUCCAAUUAUUACUACUUUCAACAAGGAUCCCAACAACCACCCUUACGUCAUAAAAUUCUUCAACAGUCCCAAUGCCAAAGCCAUGCUCUUUCUGGAUUUCAGCAAUGAGCAUAUUGAUGCUUUUAAAUCCAAGUAUCAUGAAGCUGCGGAGCAUAACAGAGGAAAUAACAUUAGCUUUCUUAUAGGCAAUCUUGAUGAUAGUAAAGCUGCUUUCCAAUAUUAUGGCCUUAAA
rnacentral:misc_RNA from 1 species